CCAGAGGAUCGGGCGACCGCGGGUGGGCUAUGGCCUGCGCGAGGAAAGUCCGGGCUCCACGAAACGACGAUGCCGGAUAACGUCCGGCGGCCCGGGCGCAAGCCGGGGUCAGGGAAAGUGCCACAGAGAGCAAACCGCCUCGGCCAAGCCCAUGGCUGGAUCAGAGGUAAGGGUGAAAGGGUGCGGUAAGAGCGCACCGCGCGGCUGGUAACAGGCGUGGCAGGGCAAACCCCAUCGGGAGCAAGACCGAAUAGGGGCGGCAUGUGGGCGUUUCGCCGACAGGGCAUGUUUCGGCCCGUCGCCCGGGUUGGUUGCUUGAGCCGUUCCGCAAGGACCGGCCUAGAGGAAUGGUCGCCAAACCUGUGCCCCGCGCACAGGUGAACAGAACCCGGCUUAUAGAUCCUCUGGCGGA
rnacentral:RNase_P_RNA from 2 species